UGGGGAAUAUUGGGCAAUGGGAGGAAUCCUGACCCAGCGACGCCGCGUGAACGAAGACGGCCUUCGGGUUGUAAAGUUCUUUUAUGUGGGAAGAAUGAAUUGACGGUACCACAUGAAUAAGCCCCGGCUAACUACGUGCCAGCAGCCGCGGUAAUACGUAGGGGGCGAGCGUUGUCCGGAAUUACUGGGCGUAAAGGGCACGCAGGCUGUGUGUCAAGUCAGCUGUCAAAGGAUGCGGCUUAACCGUGUUAUGCAGUUGAGACUGAUGUACUGGAGUACCGAAGAGGCAAGUGGAAUUCCCAGUGUAGCGGUGAAAUGCGUAGAUAUUGGGAAGAACAUCGGUGGCGAAGGCGACUUGCUGGUCGGUAACUGACGCUGAGGUGCGAAAGCCAGGGGAGCAAACG
rnacentral:rRNA from 1 species